UUGAACGCUGGCGGAAUGCUUUACACAUGCAAGUCGGGCGGCAGCGCGGGGGCAACCCUGGCGGCGAGCGGCGAACGGGUGAGUAACAUAUCGGAACGUACCCAGACGUGGGGGACAACUAGUCGAAAGACUAGCUAAUACCGCAUACGUCCUGAGGGAGAAAGCGGGGGAUCGCAAGACCUCGCGCGUUUGGAGCGGCCGAUAUCUGAUUAGCUAGAUGGUGGGGUAAAGGCCCACCAUGGCGACGAUCAGUAGCUGAUCUGAGAGGAUGAUCAGCCACACUGGAACUGAGACACGGUCCAGACUCCUACGGGAGGCAGCAGUGGGGAAUUUUAGACAAUGGGGGAGACCCUGAUCCAGCCAUUCCGCGUGAGUGAAGAAGGCCUUCGGGUUGUAAAGCUCUUUCGGCAGGAACGAAACGGCGGAAUCUAAUACAUUCCACUAAUGACGGUACCUGAAGAAGAAGCACCGGCUAACUACGU
rnacentral:rRNA from 1 species